rnacentral:misc_RNA from 1 species
GUAAAGGAAACCGUCGUCAUCUUUGUUUUCCUCGUAUAUGGCAGACAUCAAAGAAGCUGUUUGCGGCAAGGUGUUGUUGACGAAAAUGAAAAUGGCCUUCUCUGCGGAUAGCUUAAUCCUCUUUCGAACAACGUGCACAAACUGUCCAACAGUUAGAUCAGGAGGAACAAGAUACUUCUUCUUGUCGACGGCUGGGAUGUCGCUCCUGUCAGCUUUCUCAACAAUUAUCGGAAUUCUCUCAGGAUACUUUGCUCUGAUUCGAGCAGCUUCUUCUUUCCUCUUCUCGAAAGGGUGAGCGAGCUUGAAAGAACUUGGGGCCAUGGCGG